rnacentral:rRNA from 1 species
ACGGGGUGCAGCAGGCGCGAAAACUUCACACUGUGCGAAAGCACGAUGAGGGAAUCCCAAGUGCUUGCUCGUAAGAGUAAGCUGUUUCUCUGUCUAAAACACAGAGAGAGUAAGGGCUGGGUAAGACGGGUGCCAGCCGCCGCGGUAAUACCUGCAGCUCAAGUGGUGACCAUUAUUAUUGGGCCUAAAACGUCCGUAGCCGGUUUAGUAAAUGCCUGGGUAAAUCGUGUAGCUUAACUAUACGAAUUCCGGGUAGACUGCUAAACUUGAGACCGGGAGAGGCUAGAGGUACUCCUGGGGUAGAGGUGAAAUUCUGUAAUCCUGGGGGGACCACCAGUGGCGAAGGCGUCUAGCUAGAACGGGUCUGACGGUGAGGGACGAAGCCCUGGGGCGCAAACCGGAUUAGAUACCCGGGUAGUCCAGGGUGUAAACGCUGCUUGCUUGAUGUUAGUUGGGCUCCGAGCCCAAUUAGUGUCGGAGAGAAGUUGUUAAGCAAGCUGCCUGGGAAGUACGGUCGCAAGACUGAAACUUAA